rnacentral:rRNA from 1 species
UGCGUCUGGAAAGAAUUUCGGUUGGGGAUGGGCUCGCGGCCUAUCAGCUUGUUGGUGAGGUAAUGGCUCACCAAGGCGUCGACGGGUAGCCGGCCUGAGAGGGUGACCGGCCACACUGGGACUGAGACACGGCCCAGACUCCUACGGGAGGCAGCAGUGGGGAAUAUUGCACAAUGGGCGCAAGCCUGAUGCAGCAACGCCGCGUGAGGGACGACGGCCUUCGGGUUGUAAACCUCUUUUAGCAGGGAAGAAGCGAAAGUGACGGUACCUGCAGAAAAAGCGCCGGCUAACUACGUGCCAGCAGCCGCGGUAAUACGUAGGGCGCAAGCGUUAUCCGGAAUUAUUGGGCGUAAAGAGCUCGUAGGCGGUUUGUCGCGUCUGCUGUGAAAUCCGGAGGCUCAACCUCCGGCCUGCAGUGGGUACGGGCAGACUAGAGUGCGGUAGGGGAGAUUGGAAUUCCUGGUGUAGCGGUGGAAUGCGCAGAUAUCAGGAGGAACACCGAUGGCGAAGGCAGAUCUCUGGGCCGUAACUGACGCUGAGGAGCGAAAGGGUGGGGAGCAAACAGGCUUAGAUACCCUGGUAGUCCACCCCGUAAACGUUGGGAACUAGUUGUGGGGUCCAUUCCACGGAUUCCGUGACGCAGCUAACGCAUUAAGUUCCCCGCCUGGGGAGUACGGCCGCAAGGCUAAAACUCAAAGGAAUUGACGGGGACCCGCACAAGCGGCGGAGCAUGCGGAUUAAUUCGAUGCAACGCGAAGAACCUUACCAAGGCUUGACAUAUACGAGAACGGGCACAGAAAUGGUCAACUCUUUGGACACUCGUAAACAGGUGGUGCAUGGU